rnacentral:tRNA from 1 species
UGUCCUCGUAGCUCAGUAGGAUAGAGCGCAAAAUUCCUAAUUUUGAGGCCACAGGUUCGAAUCCUGUCGGGGACACCAU